UACGUAGGGGUCAAGCGUUGUCCGGAAUUAUUGGGCGUAAAGCGCGCGCAGGCGGUGCGUUAAGUCGGAUGUGAAAGGCUACGGCUCAACCGUAGAGCUGCAUCCGAAACUGGCGGACUUGAGUGCAGGAGAGGGGAGUGGAAUUCCCGGUGUAGCGGUGGAAUGCGUAGAUAUCGGGAGGAACACCAGUGGCGAAGGUGACUCUCUGGCCUGUAACUGACGAUGAGGCGCGAAAGAGUGGGGAGCAAACAGG
rnacentral:rRNA from 1 species